AUUGAACGCUGGCGGCGUGCUUAACACAUGCAAGUCGUGCGAGAAGGUCCUUCGGGGACUGAGUAGAGCGGCGCACGGGUGAGUAACGCGUGGGUGACCUACCCAGGAGACCGGGAUAACAGUGGGAAACUGCUGCUAAUACCGGGUACGCUUCAUAUUUCACGUAUGGGGGAAAGGCGGCCUCUGCUUGCAAGCUGCCACUCUUGGAUGGGCCCGCGUCUCAUUAGCUUGUUGGUUGGGUAACGGCCUACCAAGGCGACGAUGAGUAGCUGGUCUGAGAGGAUGAUCAGCCACACUGGGACUGGAACACGGCCCAGACUCCUACGGGAGGCAGCAGUGGGGAAUAUUGCGCAAUGGGCGAAAGCCUGACGCAGCGACGCCGCCGUGAGGGAAGAAGGCCUUCGGGUCGUAAACCUCUGUCAGGAGGGAAGAAACCAUGGGAGUCGAACAGGCUCUCGUGCUGACGGUACCUCCGGAGGAAGCACCGGCUAACUCCGUGCCAGCCGCCGC
rnacentral:rRNA from 1 species